GUCGCUACUACCGAUUGAAUGAUUUAGUGAGCCUCAGGGACUGAUGCACUUGAAGGGUUUCCUUCAUGCGCAUCUGGGAACUGAGUCAAACUUGACCAUUUAGAGGAAGUAA
rnacentral:rRNA from 1 species